CUGCUGCCUCCCAGGCUCCGUUCCCCAACCCCCGUUUCUCUGUCCCCUCUGGGAGUUGCAGCUACCAGCACCCCCUCUGUAGUGUUCCUGAGAGGGCCUCAUGAGUCCCAGCGCCCAUGCCUGCAGGUCCCAGGUGUCCUCGCAUUAAGUUCCCGCUGAGCAUCCCAGGCAUGCUGACACGCUGAGCCCUCUGUGGCUGCUUUUAGAUGUGCAGUCAAGAUGAAAAAUGACCAGUUUCUAAGAGAAAGUCAUCAGCCAGACACUGAAAGCCUUCUGGGAUGGGACCCCAGGCCCAGCGCUGGCGCAGUGAGAACUUCGAGAGACCCGUGGACCUGGAGGGCUCUGGGGAUGAUGA
rnacentral:sRNA from 1 species